rnacentral:rRNA from 1 species
AAUGAACGUUGGCGGCGUGGAUUAGGCAUGCGAGUCGUGCGAGAACCGUAGCAAUACGGGGACAGCGGCGAAAGGGAGAGGAACACGUGGAUACCUACCCUCAGGUUCAGGAUAGCUAUGGGAAACUAUAGGUAAUACUGAAUAAUAUCUCCGGAUCAAAGGUGUGAUUCCGCCGGAGGAGGGGUCCGCGUCCUAUUAGCUAGUUGGUGAGGUAAUGGCUCACCAAGGCGAAGAUGGGUACGGGAUGUGAGAACAUGAUCCCGCUCAUUGGGACUGAGACACUGCCCAGACACCUACGGGUGGCUGCAGUCGAGAAUCUUCGGCAAUGGGGGAAACCCGUGACCGAGCGACGCCGCGUGUGAGAUGAAGG